GACCCUUUCGUCUAGUUGGCCAAGGACGCUAUCACUUCAUGGUAGAGACAGAGGUUCAAAUCCUUUAGGGGUCG
rnacentral:tRNA from 1 species